CUAAUACUUCCUCCGUCCCAAAAUUCUUGUCUUAGAUUUAUCUAAAUACGGAUGUAUCAAGUCAUGUUUUAGUAUUGGAUACAUCCGUAUCUAGACAAAUUUAAGACAUGAAUUUUGGGACUGAGGGAGUAUAUG
rfam:Triticum aestivum genome assembly, contig: Triticum_aestivum_CS42_TGACv1_scaffold_404254_5BL